AGAUACCGGAAGGUAUGCUUGGAUA
rnacentral:rRNA from 1 species